rnacentral:rRNA from 1 species
UACAGAGGGUGCAAGCGUUGCUCGGAAUUAUUGGGCGUAAAGGGUCGGUAGGUGGUCUUGUUUGUCUAGGGUGAAAGCCUUGGGCUCAACCUGAGAAGUGCCUUAGAAACGGCAAGACUAGAGUCCUGGAGAGGGUCGUGGAAUUCCCGGUGUAGCGGUGAAAUGCGUUGAUAUCAUCAGGAACACCGGAGGCGAAGGCGGCUUACUGGGGCCUUUCUGACGCUGAGGAACGAAAGCUAGGGGAGCGAACGGG